rnacentral:rRNA from 1 species
GUCUGGCGGCGAGUGGCGAACGGGUGAGUAAUGUAUCGGAACGUGCCCAGUAGCGGGGGAUAACUACUCGAAAGAGUAGCUAAUACCGCAUACGCCCUACGGGGGAAAGGGGGGGAUCGCAAGACCUCUCACUAUUGGAGCGGCCGAUAUCGGAUUAGCUAGUUGGUGAGGUAAAGGCUCACCAAGGCGACGAUCCGUAGCUGGUUUGAGAGGACGACCAGCCACACUGGGACUGAGACACGGCCCAGACUCCUACGGGAGGCAGCAGUGGGGAAUUUUGGACAAUGGGGGCAACCCUGAUCCAGCCAUCCCGCGUGUGCGAUGAAGGCCUUCGGGUUGUAAAGCACUUUUGGCAGGAAAGAAAUCGCAUGGAUUAAUACUCUGUGUGGAUGACGGUACCUGCAGAAUAAGCACCGGCUAACUACGUGCCAGCAGCCGCGGUAAUACGUAGGGUGCAAGCGUUAAUCGGAAUUACUGGGCGUAAAGCGUGCGCAGGCGGUUCGGAAAGAAAGAUGUGAAAUCCCAGGGCUUAACCUUGGAACUGCAUUUUUAACUCCCGAGCUAGAGUGCGUCAGAGGGGGGUGGAAUUCCGCGUGUAGCAGUGAAAUGCGUAGAUAUGCGGAGGAACACCGAUGGCGAAGGCAGCCCCCUGGGAUGACACUGACGCUCAUGCACGAAAGCGUGGGGAGCAAACAGGAUU